AGAGGUGAAGCCUCGGUGCCGGCGACCACCUUUGGCCGUCAUUGGAGACGUGGUCAGCGAGGGAAGCGAGGUCACACAUCGUUUACCUGCGUCGGCGACUGACGAGCAGUGAAUAGGCCGCAGCGGUCAUCCGCCCUGAGAAGAUGGAGGAGCUACGAAGCGAUGCGAGUAGACUGCAAAUGAUCUUUGGGAGCGGGGGGAAUGGAAGCUUCGGGGAGGAGAUGGGUUGCAUUCUGGUAAAUGUGGAUGUAGGAUAUGUGUGUGUAUUUAUUUGUAUGCGUUGGUUAUCAAUGGACAAUAGUGAUUUGGUUCUAGCUAGAGUGAUUGAAUUGAGUUAAUUUGGCAUAUUCAGUUAGCUCAGUUCAUGCAUUUUAUUCUCAGCUGGGCUGUUAGCUUCAUAUAUGUUCUUUUUACCCAGCUGCUUUAACAUAUGUGCUAAAUCGGCUGCAUUAAGUUUUAUUGAUUGGUGCAUUUCUUUGCGACGCAAUUAGCAUAUAUGAUGUAGAGGUUUAUCAGUUACCA